UUUCAAUGACUGGCUCGGUGGUGGCUUCAGAUGAUGGAGCCAGGUCCGUGGUUACCGUGGAAACACCAUCUUGAGUGACAGUUUCAGCAGAAGCAGUUGCAAAAGUAUCCAAUGCAACGGUUGAAACGGUAUACAUCGGGUCAGUGGUACUGAAAGGCUCAUAGGUUUUUGGACUGUUCGUUGUUAUUGAAGACUCUGUGUUGACUCCGCCAUCUGUGGCCGCAUGGGUCACACGUACAGAAAGGACAAUAACUAGCUGCACUGCGCGAUACAAAUGCUCCAGAUGACAAAACCUACACACAGUCCAAGGGUUGCAGUGGAACCAUCCACUCCCAAGGAGAACACGAAGUAAUAAAAAAUGUCCCCAUAUGUAACUUCAGGACAUUUUAUCAUGUCAAAUCUGCCAACCUGCUCGGUGGGUGACAGGUAAGCGUCUUUCCACCAACCUGUUCUAUCCUGGAGUGGCAUGCUGGAACUUCCAGAGGCAUGUAGACCUGAAGCAGUGUGAUGUGGUCCAGAUCUGACACCCCUAUUAGCUCAACCACAGACUGCACAGCUGCAGUCUUCUGCCCCUGCACCCGCUACACCGGCCACGACAGCUGAUACAGAUCUGCCACCCCCAGCAGUUCAGCUGUAGUCACAGCAGUCCUCUGCUGUGGUAUUUAAUUUACCGGCUGCACCAGUUUCUACUACACUGGCCGUGGAUGGAGAAACUUUUGAGGAUUCCCAGAUGGAUACAGAUCUGCCAUGCACUCCACCACUGCCUGACAGCCUCACCCAGAAGUGCAUGCACUGGGCCUAUCAAGACUGACAAAAGCAGAGAUGGGUGGCUGACAAGGAAAAAUAAAACACAACAUGCACACACACUCUCUGUCUCUGUCACACACACACAUUAUCCCCAAUGUAAAUAAAUUGUAAUUACUUGUUUAUUUUAUGUAUGCUCCAUUUUAUUUUAGGAUUGGAGAUAUCGACGCCUACAUAUCCAUUAUCAAUAUCUACAUAAUUACUCUAAAUAUCUAUCCAAUAAAAGUGUGACUGUUAAUAUUG